rnacentral:rRNA from 1 species
GCCUAACCUUUAUGGAGGGAACCGCCUAAGGCGGGACAGAUGACUGGGGUGAAGUCGUAACAAGGUAGCCGUAGGAGAACCUGCGGCUGGAUCACCUCCUUUCUAAGGAA